rnacentral:lncRNA from 1 species
ACGUCAGUGUGGCUUGUUAUACUUCUAAUGUUUUAGCAAAAGGAUAGGUGUGUAUUACCUAAGGGGCUGGCUCCAUCUGCUCAAAGAUAAGAGUUGUCCAUUUGGAAUAAAUUCUAGAGUUUAGUUUGACACCAAGCUAAAUGCAACAUGCUGUUCUUCAUUUGUUGACAUCAUGAUUUACAUCCCCUCCUCUUAUGAAACGUGCUCUGUUUCUUAAUGUUUUGGUCCGACUGGUGUGUUGGUCACUGAUCCUUACAUGGGCUAACAAUGCAGGUCCCCAUGAUCACAGAACCAGAGUGUGGCUAACUGAGUUACGUGGAAUCAAACCUAGGACUUCAUGAUACCCACCUGAGCAAAAGCCACCAGUGCCAAUGAGGGAUUUCAUGGUAUCAAAUCAGAAUCAUUAAGCGUUACUGUUUUUCCACUUGUAAUUUUCACCUUGUUAAGUACAA